UCCCUGAUGGUCUAGUGGUUAGGACUUGGUGUUUUCACUGCUGUGGCCCAGGUUCAAUCCCUGGCCUGGGAA
rnacentral:tRNA from 1 species